UUCAAUAAUUAUAUUACUUGUAGCCAGGUCCUGGGAAUUGUCAGUCUAAAUUAAGUCUUACCUCAUAGUGGAAACUAAAGAAAGAAGCCUUUUUUCACACCUGAUCCAACCAAAAGAAGCACAGUUUUUCGUGAAGUUAGUUGAGGGAUGGAAAUUAUGAGCAAACUCUAACUCUUGAUCUGUGAUUUCAUGCUUGUUUGCUUCACUGCAUGCAAACGAAAAUCGGACGAAACAAAGUGAGUGGUAAAGUGAGAGAGAGAGAAAGGAAAGGAGUUACAUUAUGAGGCGAGAUGAGGCAAAGAUACGAUUUUCAAUCACCACCAUCGCCCCGCGAAAUUCGGGUCCAUGUGAGCAGAACAAAACCAACACAACAUUCUCUUUUAAAAAUAACAAAUUUUAAUACAUAAAUAAAGACACAUCAACAAAGUCAUCACUGAGUGAUCAUAUGCAAGCCUCUGUAGGUUAUUAUUAUUAUUUACUUACCGCUAAUUCACUUAUGCGGUUUAAAAAAAAUAUUAUAUUUUUGUUGAUUGUUUGAUUUGAUUCAGCAUGUAAACAAGAAGUAAACGUUUACAACAAUUUUAUUGUGCCUCUAUUUUAGUAUGCAUAACGAAAAUAUACAUACCUCUUUAGUUUACGCUUUUUAGUGUGUAUACAAAAAAACUACCUGCGACAGGACUGGAAUGGUGUACAGGAAGUAAAACAAACAACGGAUAUUCACAUCGAUAAAGUUAGUCGUAAUAUACUAAAAGCUAGAUAGAUAGAUAAAUAUAGGUGCAAACAUUAAGGUUUUUAUACAUAUUUCCCGAUUGAGUAACUUGGAAUAUUUGAUCACA